AUGAACGCUGGCGGCGUGCCUAAUACAUGCAAGUCGAGCGCACAGAUGAGGAGCUUGCUCCUCUGACGUUAGCGGCGGACGGGUGAGUAACACGUGGAUAACCUACCUAUAAGACUGGGAUAACUUCGGGAAACCGGAGCUAAUACCGGAUAAUAUAUUGAACCGCAUGGUUCAAUAGUGAAAGACGGUUUUGCUGUCACUUAUAGAUGGAUCCGCGCCGCAUUAGCUAGUUGGUAAGGUAACGGCUUACCAAGGCAACGAUGCGUAGCCGACCUGAGAGGGUGAUCGGCCACACUGGAACUGAGACACGGUCCAGACUCCUACGGGAGGCAGCAGUAGGGAAUCUUCCGCAAUGGGCGAAAGCUUGACGGAGCAACGCCGCGUGAGUGAUGAAGGUCUUCGGAUCGUAAAACUCUGUUAUUAGGGAAGAACAAAUGUGUAAGUAACUAUGCACGUCUUGACGGUACCUAAUCAGAAAGCCACGGCUAACUACGUG
rnacentral:rRNA from 1 species